UUACAACCUCUCCUCCCCCCUUUACUCACCCUAACGCACCACAUGUUCACACAUACACAUGCCAGGAUGAAAAUUGUUCAUGUACCCCAGGACUACAUCUGUAAUCAUGACUGGCAGCUGACUUAACGCCACGCUAGAAACCUGAUUCUCUUUCUUCCCUCUCUUUCUCUUUUUCUUUCUCUCUCUUUCAAGUGGUGAACACUCAAAUGUUGAAGCUGCAGUGUGAACAUAUAAAUCCAUGAGGCAGUUCUUGAAGAACUGGCAAGAAGUGCCACAGACAGUGAUACAGGAGGUAACCAACUCCAAAUAAAGGGCAACUAUUUUAGCAGCUGGGAUUUCUACUGUUCAGGAUGCACUGAGAAGGGAUAUCACCUCUAGGCUGUGGUAGCCUUGAUCUAAUCAUGAGAAAAUACCAGACAAACCCAAAUUGAAGGAUAUUCCACAAAACAAAUGAAUAAUCCUCUUCAAAAGUGCCAAGAUUUUAAAAAACCAACACAAUUAAGCAAGAGAAAGACACAGUAUAAAAUUGCAAAUGAGGAAGUGAAACUAUUCCUAUCUGUGUAUACCUGGAAAUAAUCAAGAGAAUCAACUGAAACACCAUUACAAACAAAAAGAAAAUACAGUGAAGACCUCUAUUGAUAACAUUAGGAAAAUCAACAGUAGGUUCUGUUCUAGGAAAUGGAGAAACAGCAUAUCUAUCCUUUUGGAUCUUAAAUUCCACCCGGGAAAGAGAUAAUAAAUUGUUAACAGGGAACAAUAUGUAAAUUGAGAAGAAAAAGGACUUAAGGAGUAAGUCAUGGUAAUACAACUUGAGUGGAGGUGGAGAUUUAAGAAGACCGAGAAUUUAAGGAGUUGCCAGUUUUGUUAGAAGAAAAUUAGGGGACAAUGGAGGUCACAGAAGCCAAGAAACAUGGAUAUAAUGUAAUGACUGGAGUUUUGACAGCAGUCUUUGAACCAUGGUAGAAAGACCAAAAGAAUCAUGAUCUCAAUGAAAUGGCCAAUGAAAAUUUUAAAAUAUGAGAAAUAAAAAGAACAAGUGAGAACAUAUGCCUAUAACAGUACUGGCAUCACAGAACACUCCUACUACAUUCUAAAUAUAGCAAGUGUACUUGCUGGGACCCAACCAACAAGGGAAAAAGUUACAACCAUGCAGAGGACUUAAAUAUAAAAAAGGAAAAUGUAAUCCAUUUUUACUCCUGAAUGCUGACAUGAAAUUUCUGAAAACCUGGCUUCAUUCACAGUACAAAUUAUCUUACUAUGGUGGUUAUUUUAUUUGUGGGUCAAAAAAUGUUCAAAUAAAGAGAUAAAAAUAGCCCACAAAGGCCAAAAGU